UCGUUGAUGCUGAGGAAUGUCAAGUCAGCACAACGGCUUCAGGUAAAUUUAGCAAGUAAGAUUUUUAUAAAGAAUAUGUGAAGUCAGCACAACGGCUUCAGGUAAAUUUAGCAAGUAAGAUUUUUAUAAAGAAUAUGUGAAGUCAGCACAACGGCUUCAGGUAAAUUUAGGAAAUAAGAUUUUUGUAAAGAAUAAAAUGAUGAUUAAUAAACUGGACGGCAAGCCGCUCAGUACGGUAAA